rnacentral:misc_RNA from 1 species
UUGCCUUCUGAAGCACCUUCAAUAAUUCCAGGAAGGUCAAGCAGCUGAAUUUUAGUAUCAUUAUAGUGUAUAAUACCAGGAAUACAGGUAAGUGUUGUGAACUCAUAUGAUGCAGCUUCAGAGUGAGUGCCAGUUAACAAUGUCAAGAGAGUUGACUUCCCAACACUUGGAAAUCCUAUCAGUGCAACACGUCCNNNNNNNNCAUAUUUUGUAACUUCAAAACCAUCUCCACCACCGCUAGAACCCUUAGGAGGCUCCAACAGUUGUGUCCUUAGCUUUGCUAUCUUUGCCUUGAGCUGACCAAGAUGAUACUCUGUAGCUUUAUUUUUCUGGGUUCGAGCCAUCUCGGCUUCGAUUUCUUUAAUCUUCUCGAUUAUCCCCAUUCUCGCUUGAUUUUAGCCGCCACCGUCACACCGGAAGUGAGCGAGGGCGAUCCCAGGAGCUGAGAUGAGAAGAGGAGAGUGGCAGGGACAAUGGAGAUGGAGAUGGAGAUGGAGAUGGCGAUGACUGUUAUUAUUUAACGG